rnacentral:rRNA from 1 species
GCGGCGUGCUUAACACAUGCAAGUCGAACGGAAAGGCCCUUCGGGGUACUCGAGUGGCGAACGGGUGAGUAACACGUGGGUGAUCUGCCCUGCACUCUGGGAUAAGCCUGGGAAACUGGGUCUAAUACCGGAUAGGACCACACACUUCAUGGUGAGUGGUGCAAAGCUUUUGCGGUGUGGGAUGAGCCCGCGGCCUAUCAGCUUGUUGGUGGGGUAAUGGCCCACCAAGGCGACGACGGGUAGCCGGCCUGAGAGGGUGACCGGCCACACUGGGACUGAGAUACGGCCCAGACUCCUACGGGAGGCAGCAGUGGGGAAUAUUGCACAAUGGGCGCAAGCCUGAUGCAGCGACGCCGCGUGAGGGAUGACGGCCUUCGGGUUGUAAACCUCUUUCAGUAGGGACGAAGCGAAAGUGACGGUACCUACAGAAGAAGGACCGGCCAACUACGUGCCAGCAGCCGCGGUAAUACGUAGGGUCCGAGCGUUGUCCGGAAUUACUGGGCGUAAAGAGCUCGUAGGUGGUUUGUCGCGUUGUUCGUGAAAACUCACAGCUUAACUGUGGGCGUGCGGGCGAUACGGGCAGACUAGAGUACUGCAGGGGAGACUGGAAUUCCUGGUGUAGCGGUGGAAUGCGCAGAUAUCAGGAGGAACACCGGUGGCGAAGGCGGGUCUCUGGGCAGUAACUGACGCUGAGGAGCGAAAGCGUGGGUAGCGAACAGGAUUAGAUACCCUGGUAGUCCACGCCGUAAACGGUGGGUAACUAGGUGUGGGGUUCCCUUCCUUGGGAUCCGUGCCGUAGCUAACGCAUUAAGUACCCCGCCUGGGGAGUACGGUCGCAAGACUAAAACUCAAAGGAAUUGACGGGGGCCCGCACAAGCGGCGGAGCAUGUGGAUUAAUUCGAUGCAACGCGAAGAACCUUACCUGGGUUUGACAUGCACAGGACGUACCUAGAGAUAGGUAUUCCCUUGUGGCCUGUGUGCAGGUGGUGCAUGGCUGUCGUCAGCUCGUGUCGUGAGAUGUUGGGUUAAGUCCCGCAACGAGCGCAACCCUUGUCCUAUGUUGCCAGCGGGUAAUGCCGGGGACUCGUAGGAGACUGCCGGGGUCAACUCGGAGGAAGGUGGGGAUGACGUCAAGUCAUCAUGCCUCUUAUGUCCAGGGCUUCACACAUGCUACAAUGGCCAGUACAGAGGGCUGCGAAGCCGCAAGGUGGAGCGAAUCCCUUAAAGCUGGUCUCAGUUCGGAUUGGGGUCUGCAACUCGACCCCAUGAAGUCGGAGUCGCUAGUAAUCGCAGAUCAGCAACGCUGCGGUGAAUACGUUCCCGGGCCUUGUACACACCGCCCGUCACGUCAUGAAAGUCGGUAACACCCGAAGCCAGUGGCCUAACCUUUUGGAGGAAGCUGUCGAAGGUGGGAUCGGCGAUUGGGGCGA